rnacentral:rRNA from 1 species
GUAGGGAAUAUUGGGCAAUGGUCGGAAGACUGACCCAGCCAUGCCGCGUGCAGGAAGACGGCCCUCUGGGUUGUAAACUGCUUUUAUCUGGGAAGAAAAAGGCCAUGCGUGGCAAAUUGCCGGUACCAGAUGAAUAAGCACCGGCUAACUCCGUGCCAGCAGCCGCGGUAAUACGGAGGGUGUGAGCGUUGUCCGGAUUUAUUGGGUUUAAAGGGUGCGUAGGCGGCUGAUUAAGUCAGCGGUGAAAGACUGCGGCUUAACCGGAGCAGUGCCGUUGAUACUGGUUGGCUUGAGUGUCGGAGGGGUACAUGGAAUUGAUGGUGUAGCGGUGAAAUGCAUAGAUACCAUCAGGAACACCGAUAGCGAAGGCAUUGUACUGGCCGACAACUGACGCUGAUGCACGAAAGUGUGGGGAUCGAACAGGAUUAGAAACCCGAGUAGUCC